rnacentral:rRNA from 1 species
GCGCACCAGUCGCGAAAACUCCACAAUGUGGGAAACCACGAUGGGGGAACUCCCAGUGCGCACACUUUGUGUGCGCUGUUCUCCUGCCUAAAAAGCAGGAGAAGUAAGGGCCGGGUAAGACGGGUGCCAGCCGCCGCGGUAAUACCCGCGGCCCGAGUGGUGCUCAUUAUUAUUGAGUCUAAAACGUCCGUAGCCGGUCGGGUAGAUUCCUGGGUAAAUCGAACCGCUCAACGGCUCGAAUUCCGGGGAGACCGGCCGACUAGGGACCGGGAGAGGCGUGAGGUACUACUGGGGUAGGGGUAAAAACCUGUAAUCCUGGGAAGAACACCAGUGGCGAAGGCGUUCCGCGAGGACGG